rnacentral:rRNA from 1 species
AACGAACGCUGGCGGCAGGCCUAACACAUGCAAGUCGAGCGAGACCUUUCGGGUCUAGCGGCGGACGGGUUAGUAAACGCGUGGGAACGUGCCCUUUACUACGGAAUAGUCCCGGGAAACUGGGUUUAAUACCGUAUGCGCCCGUUUGGGGGAAAGAUUUAUCGGUAAAAGGAUCGGCCCGCGUUAGAUUAGAUAGUUGGUGGGUAAUGGCCUACCAAGCCGACGAUCCAUAGCUGGUUUGAGAGGAUGAUCAGCCACACUGGGACUGAGACGCGGCCCAGACUCCUACGGGAGCAG